rfam:Corynebacterium glutamicum R DNA, complete genome.
GUUGUGAUUGCAGUGACUGAUGUGGUUUUCGGUUUCUGUGGAGGAAGGGUUGCAACGCUUUUUCAAGAGAAUGACCGCGCGUCCGCUUAAAUCGAAGCGUUGAACGCCGGUCUUUUCUCAUUUCACUUAAGAUA